GGUGACAUCUGUAACUACCUGGUAGUGGACUGUUCAGAGCCGUGCGGAGUUUGUUACGGAGAGUAGUAGCAGCAAGGAUCUUUCAGGGCCACGUAGAGUUUGUUACGGAGAGUGGAGUGGUGUCCGUUGUCGUGACUUGCCAGGGAGUGGUAGAGCCCAGAGAGCGGGGUGGUGUCUAUUAUCGUGACUUGCCAGAGAGUAGUAGAGCCAUGCAGAAUUCGUUACAGAGAGUGGAGUAGG
rnacentral:lncRNA from 1 species